rnacentral:rRNA from 1 species
UACGAAGGGUGCAAGCGUUACUCGGAAUUACUGGGCGUAAAGGGUGCGUAGGUGGUUUGUUAAGUCUGCUGUGAAAUCCCCGGGCUCAACCUGGGAAUGGCAGUGGAUACUGGCAAGCUAGAGUGCGGUAGAGGGUAGUGGAAUUCCCGGUGUAGCAGUGAAAUGCGUAGAGAUCGGGAGGAACACCAGUGGCGAAGGCGGCUACCUGGACCAUAACUGACGCUGAUGCGCGAAAGCUAGGGGAGCAAACAGG